AUACAUAUUGAUUAACAAAAUCAUCACCUUUCUUAUUUAAAUAAAAUAAAAUUAAUAUUUGUAAUGUCAGCUAUGUCCAAUAUUUAUGUCAAAUAUCUGUCACAAUACAUCACUCUCCUUAGAAAUUUUGGACUCCAAAAUAAAAUAAAUAAUAAAGAAUAUUUAAGAGAAAUUGUGUAAAUUUUAUGUCAACUAUAUUAAUUUGAAAAUGGAUUUAUAACUUUUAAUUAUUAAUGUAAGUAAAUAAUCAAUAUCCAUAUUUAAACCGCAAAACAAUAUAGAAGACAAGCAAUUUAGUGAUGAAAAACCAAUGGAUGUAUAAACAUAUAGCAUUUAGUAUUUGAUUUUAAGCGAUAAAAAAUUUGAAUUUAUUUUUAAU
rnacentral:lncRNA from 1 species